rnacentral:rRNA from 1 species
AGAGUUUGAUCCUGGCUCAGGAUGAACGCUAGCUACAGGCUUAACACAUGCAAGUCGAGGGGCAGCAUGUUGGUUGCUUGCAACCAAUGAUGGCGACCGGCGCACGGGUGAGUAACGCGUAUCCAACCUACCCAAUACUCAGGCAUAACCCGUUGAAAGACGGACUAAUUCCUGAUGGUAUGUAUUUUUCUCAUGAAUUAUACAUUAAAGAAUUUCGGUAUUGGAUGGGGAUGCGUCUGAUUAGUUUGUUGGUGAGGUAACGGCUCACCAAGACUUCGAUCAGUAGGGGUUCUGAGAGGAAGGUCCCCCACAUUGGAACUGAGACACGGUCCAAACUCCUACGGGAGGCAGCAGUGAGGAAUAUUGGUCAAUGGAUGCAAAUCUGAACCAGCCAAGUAGCGUGCAGGAUGACGGCCCUAUGGGUUGUAAACUGCUUUUAUGUGAGAAUAAAGUUAGGUAUGUAUACUUAUUUGCAUGUAUCACAUGAAUAAGGACCGGCUAAUUCCGUGCCAGCAGCCGCGGUAAUACGGAAGGUCCAGGCGUUAUCCGGAUUUAUUGGGUUUAAAGGGUGCGUAGGCCGUUUGAUAAGCGUGCUGUGAAAUAUAGUGGCUCAACCUCUAUCGUGCAGCGCGAACUGUCGAACUUGAGUGCGUAGUAGGUAGGCGGAAUUCGUGGUGUAGCGGUGAAAUGCUUAGAUAUCACGAAGAACUCCGAUUGCGAAGGCAGCUUACCGUAACGUUACUGACGCUUAAGCACGAAGGUGCGGGUAUCGAACAGGAUUAGAUACCCUGGUAGUCCGCACAGUAAACGAUGGAUGCUCGCUGUUGGCCUUUAAUGGUCAGUGGCUUAGCGAAAGCGUUAAGCAUCCCACCUGGGGAGUACGCCGGCAACGGUGAAACUCAAAGGAAUUGACGGGGGCCCGCACAAGCGGAGGAACAUGUGGUUUA